GAAUGAGAUGAUGAUUGUGUUUUUGACGUUUCCCUAUUGGUUUGAUUGCCGAUAUGAUGGCGUCCAUCUUGUAUUAGCUCUAGCUGAUCGUUC